rnacentral:tRNA from 1 species
ACUUUUAAAGGAAAACAGCAUUCCACUAAUUUUAGGCAUUAACCACUCUUGGCGCAACUCCAAGUAAAAGUA